GGUGAGUGAAUACAUAAUUGAACCAGUGAUUGAUGGUUUGACUGAUUAAUUGAUAAAGUGAAUUUUGAUUGAUAAAGUGAGUUGUGAUUGAUUGAUUCACUGAUUGGCUGACUGAUUUAAGUAUGAUGUCCUUUGACUGAGUGUGAUUGGUUGGGUGAGUGAAUACAUAAUUGAACCAGUGUUUGAUGGUUUGACUGAUUAAUUGAUAAAGUGAAUUUUGAUUGAUAAAGUGAGUUGUGAUUGAUUGAUUCACUGAUUGGCUGACUGAUUUAAGUAUGAUGUCCUUUGACUGAGUGUGAUUGGGUGGGUGAGUGAAUACAUAAUUGAACCAGUGAUUGAUGGUUUGACUGAUUAAUUGAUCGAAUGAGUUGUGAUUGAUUGAUUGGCUGAUCUGAUUUAAGUAUAAUGAGUUUAAUUGAGUGGCAAGAUAAGGAACCAGUGAUUGAUUGAUUGAAUGCUAUUAUACAGGGUGUAUUUGAUCAAUUAUAUGUUUCGUUUUCUCAGGGUCGUUUGACAGCAGCAGGAGUAGAAUCAAUCUUAGAUCUCCAAUCAGAACUAAUUCAACAGAUUGUUACUGAGUAUGCAGACAAGCAAUCAGAGUUAGUGGCAGAAGAGCGGCCUCAGAAGAUGAGUGGAGCCCAGCAACACAAACGAAUGAUGGCAUCACUUGAAAAGCAGAUUGCAAAUCAG